UACGUAGGGGGCAAGCGUUGUCCGGAAUUAUUGGGCGUAAAGCGCGUGUAGGCGGCUCGGUAAGUCUGCUGUGAAAGUCCAGGGCUCAACCCUGGAAUGCCGGUGGAUACUGUCGAGCUCGAGUCCGGAAGAGGCGAGUGGAAUUCCUGGUGUAGCGGUGAAAUGCGUAGAUAUCGGGAGGAACACCAGUGGCGAAGGCGGCUUUCUGGUCUGCUCUUGACGCUGAGGCGCGAAAGCUAGGGUAGCAAACGGG
rnacentral:rRNA from 1 species